rnacentral:lncRNA from 1 species
GAUCCACAGUGUCACAAGAAGGGGCUGUAGCCCCCACGACUUUCAAAAAAUUGCAAAAAUUGUUUUAGAAUUUUUUUUUUUAUACUUUAGCCCACCUAAAAUAUAUUAAAAAUUUUUUUUUACACUUUAGCCUCCUUAUUUAAAAUCCUGACUUCGCCCCUGCUUACACGUAAUAUGUUGUUCACGACUUUCAGAGAGUUACUUGGGACUUGUGUGGGCACAACCCUGAAUCCUCUUCUCAUGUGCUCGGGGACUGUAUCAGAGCUAGGAACAUUAGGCAAACGGUCCAGAUACCUUCAUCCCUCCCAGCUGACAUGGCCACUGAUUGGGCUAACUGGCUUUACUCUAGUUGUCCUGCCUCUUUCAUUCGCUCAAGUGGAAUUUCAGUUGUGUUUCCUUUUAGGCUAUGUUUGGAUGGCAGGCAUCAUGCACUACGAAUGAGAAUCAUAUUUUCUGAAAUCUUAAUUUUAUUGUUAGGAAUGUGAUACUUAAGUAAACUUAUUCAGUUGUUUGGUUUAUUCAGGAAUUCUAUUUAGAAAAAAAUUAUAAAUUUUAUUUAAGCGUUUGAUUUAACCAAUUUAAAAAAUAGGAAUAGAAUUGGUAUUUACUUUCUUUUUUGAAAACAUCAUUUUCGAUAAUAAAUUAUUUUUUUUAUUUUAGAUGUUACUUUUUUUUCUAAUUAAUAUCUUUUAGUUUUUCGAUUAGUCUUAGUUAAAAGAAUUAGAAAAGUAAAAAAAAAUUAACACAUAACUUAGUAAAAUAAAAAAUUAUUCUAAAUAAAUUGUAAAAUUAAUCAUCUAAAAACUUCAAAUAGAUUAAUUUAGAUUUUUUUUUUACUUUUUUAAUUCUCUAAUUAAGACAAAUCAAAAAAAAUGGACCAAAAUUUUUUAAAAAAAUACUAAAGAAAAAAUAUAUUCAAAACAUUAUUAAAUAAAAAAAUUAAAAAAAAAUGUUAAUAAAAAGUAAUUUAUUUAAAAUUAAUAAUGUAAUUGUAAAAUAAUAUGGGUUAUAUUUAUAGAGUUAUAUUUAGGCGGUGACAUAAUUAAAAAAUAAUACACAUCAUUUUUUUAAUUGUUGGAUUAAACAGUAAUCCAAGAUUCCUGGGGUUGAGUAAUGAAUCACAUUCCUACUCAGUAUGAAAAUUUUAUUCCCAUUAGAAUGAGAGUCCAUUCAUGCCACAUCCAAACGACGAUAUUAUGGGGACCAGAAAUAAUAAUAGCAUUUUGCCUCGAGAUUUAUGUCAUCCAAACAUAACGUUACGUUUUGGGCUAUUUGGAAUAAUCGCAACAAAACUAUGUUUGACGCUAAUUUCUGGGGCAACCCAAAUAAAAUCAGUCCAUCCACUUUGCGAUUGGCAGCGGAAUGGUUUUUCAUUACUAAAUCAAAACCACCUUUGAUGGCUAAAGAAAAUUUGAUGGUUCAAUGGUUACCUCCUCCACCAAAUGUUUUCAAAUUAAAUACUGAUGGAGCUUCAAAAGGAAAUUCUGGCAGUGCCACUACUGGUAACCUCAUCCCAGAAUUAAUCAUGUAUAGCUGGGGCAGCCGACAUCACCUAAUCUAAUAACCUCCGGAGUUUAACUAUAGGAACAAAUUAAAAUUUAUAAUUGUAAUUGUAAUAAAUUAAGCUCUAUAGUUUUAAUUCCGUAAUAAUUUAAAUUAUUCGUUAGUCUUCGUCCACCUAAAGUUAACGAAACCAUCUAGUUUCAAUCCAAAAUGCACUAAAACCACGUCUUAUAGGGUUUUUUACUUUUUAAAAUCCUAACCAAACCAUUAAACUUUAUAAUUUAUUUUAUUAAUUGGUUUAACUAAGACUUUAAAAGAGGGUAGCAGUAUACGAAGUAUUUCAUGCAUUUUUUGUAAAAACUUAUUAGUUUCAUUAACUCUAACUAGACGAAAAUUAACUAAUAGUUUAAAUUGUUAUUGAAUUAAAAUUAUAUAAUUUAAUUUAUUACGAUUUAGAAUGUAGAGUUUAAUUUGUUUUCAUGGUUAAACUCUAAGAAUUUGUUUUGUAAUUUUUCCAAUUUUUUUCUUUUGGUUGCUUAGAGAAAUUAUUUAACUGAAAAUUGAGUAUAAAUUAUAAUUAAAGUAAUCUUUAUAUCACAUUUAUUUCGUUUUCUUUUACCAAAUUAAAGCCCAAACAUAAAGAGGAAUUUUUAGGUUUCAAAAUUUAGAUUAAGGAAAAUUCUCAAACCUGAAUUUUUAGGGUUGAGAAUUUUCAAUUUUAUACAGUUCAAUUAAACUGAAGGAAAAACUAAUAAAAAAUCCAAAGUUUAACGAAUAAAAAAUUCAAACCUUAAGUACUAAAUUUCAUUAACCCCAACGUUUCAUAUGAUUGUCAAUCUCUUCAUCCGUCCAUCUCAAUAAACCAUCCUAACAGAGAAAAUUCAGUGCCCACAUAUAUGUCCUUUUCUCAUUAGCUUUUUUUUCUUCUUCUUGUCAUUAAAUCUAUAAAUCACAGGCCACCAUAACCACCUUUUGCACAAUCCUAAGCAAUUGACAG